CAAAACUAUAACUAAUCAGCUAAUCGUCUUACUAAAGGGAAAUUAGCAGCAAGUGAGAGUCAAAUGGCUUAUAAAACUUCCAUAUUUGCUUAUUGCCAAAUAGAAACAAUUUGAGGCCAGGAGAAACGAAAUAACAAGUUUUUCGGCAGAUAUUUGGUCUGCAUUACCAAUCUUGCGGAUUCGCUGAAUUAUGGUAGAAGGAUUUUGAUAAUGGGUACGAGAAUCCUAUAUAUAAACAGGAGCACUUUUUUCUAACGGAUACAACGCCAGCCAUAACUUAGCAAGCACAUGUCAUCAUUAUUGGCAGCAUUACCAUUCAUGGAUAUAUCAUAACCUUCAGCAUUACCUGUGGCUUAAAAAUAAUGUCCUAUUUAUUGAAAUAUCUCCGAUAUUAUGACAUAAUCUUUUAUUAUGAAAUGUGGGAGCAAGUUCAUAAAGUAUAACGAAUAAAUUUUUGAAUGUUCUGCCUAAUGCUUAAUGCGAGUAUUAAAACAAAAUUAA
rnacentral:sRNA from 1 species